CUAGGCAGAGGGUUCACUUGCAGUGUAGCUCCACCUCGCUUGCAGUGUAGCUCCGCCUCUGAUUUGCCCUCACUGAUAGACCCAAGUGGGGUCUAUCAGUGAGGGCAGAGUUAAGAGGCAGGGAGGGCCUGUUUGCCAGCCUCCUGCCCUAUGAUUAUGGCCCCUGUAAUAGACUUUGGUUAAAGAUACUGUGCCUUUUGGACUUGUACAGUAAUACUUCGGACUCUCGAAGCGGUUCGAAGCAGCACUUCGAACAUGUGGUGGCCAUCUUAAGCCGCGAGCAGUGGGAAAUGGAGUGCUGUCUCGCUAUAAAGACAAGGUAAUUAAAAUUGAUAAAAGGAAUGGAGCAUUUUAGUUACAAAGAAAGGUUAAAAAAGUAAAAUCUCUUUAGUUUGGAAAAACAGCACCUCAGAGGAGAUAUAACAUUAUACAAAUAUGUUCGGGGCCAUUAUCUUAAAAUCUAUUCAUAAAUAGGGCUAUAUAUAGGUAUAUAGGACAUGAGGUCACACAUUUAGGCUGGAAGAAAGGAGAUUUCAUCUAAGGCAAAGAAAGGUUUUUUACAGUAAGAGCAAUAAGGAUAUGGAAUUCUCUGCCUGAAGAGGUGGUUUUAUCAGAGUCCAUACAGAUGUUUAAACUGAAAUUGGAUAAAUACUUGCAAAAUCAUAACAUACAGUGAUAUAAUUUCUAAUUAGUGGGGUAAUAGCUGCUUGAUCCAAGGAGACAUCUGACUGCUAUUUUGGGGUCAAGAAGGAAUUUUUUCCUAGUUUGUUGCAAAAUUGUUUUUUUACCUUCUUUUGGAUCAACAGCAAAAACAUAUGUGAGAAAGCCUGAACUCGAUGGACGCAAGUCUCAUGUAAUUAAUAAAAUUAACACUUAACAGUAACUCAAUAUGAAAAUAAAAUAAAAAUACUCUGAACAUGUGCCAGAUGGUGUCUUAGAGUCCCGUGGCCCUACAUCCAGAUGGCUUGAACCUGCUCAGAAGUGUCCCUGUGUCGGCAAUGGAGCGGGGCACAAAUGUGACUAUGUUGGGGAAGUCCCAGGAGCAGUUAGAAGUAGGGUUAUUAGGGUCUGGUUUAUUCAGUCCUAGUUUGCCGAGGAAGGAACCGGACUCUUCUGUCGAAGUCAGUAGGAAGGUGGUCGCUCCCUUGGUGACUGUAAGCAUAGUUGGCCCCCAUCGGAAUUUGACUCCAGCCUCUCUGAGGGUUGUGGUGACACGCUGGAAGGACUAUCUCCAGGUCAGAGUAGCUUUGCGAAG